GACGAACGCUGGCGGCGUGCCUAACACAUGCAAGUCGAGCGAACAGAUGAAGUGCUCGCACUUCUGACGUUAGCGGCGAACGGGUGAGUAACACGUAAGGAAUCUACCUAUAAGCGGGGGAUAACAUUCGGAAACGGGUGCUAAUACCGCAUAAUAUCUUCUUCCGCAUGGAAGAAGAUUGAAAGACGGCUCUGCUGUCACUUAUAGAUGACCUUGCGGUGCAUUAGUUAGUUGGUGGGGUAACGGCCUACCAAGACGAUGAUGCAUAGCCGACCUGAGAGGGUGAUCGGCCACAUUGGGACUGAGACACGGCCCAAACUCCUACGGGAGGCAGCAGUAGGGAAUCUUCCGCAAUGGGCGAAAGCCUGACGGAGCAAUGCCGCGUGAGUGAAGAAGGCCUUCGGGUCGUAAAACUCUGUUAUAAGAGAAGAACAAAUUGUAGAGUAACUGCUACAGUCUUGACGGUAUCUUAUCAGAGAGCCACGGCUAACUACGUGCCAGCCGCCGCGGUAA
rnacentral:rRNA from 1 species